GGAAAAUGAUGAAAAACAUGGACGCACCACACCAUCUUUCGGGACUGAUUGGUGCAUUAUGUGUGCCAUGCUGUCAAAUCUGCAAUUCUGAUGUCC